rnacentral:rRNA from 1 species
UUUAUGGAGAGUUUGAUCCUGGCUCAGGAUGAACGCUGGCGGCGUGCCUAAUACAUGCAAGUCGAGCGAACGGACGAGAAGCUUGCUUCUCUGG